AGCCACAGGGAUUAUAUAUGUGGUUAGACCUGCCCAAUGUUGAGAAUAUGAAUGGCCGCGGUACAUUGACCGUGCUAAGGUAGCGUAAUCAGUUGGCUUUUAAUUGAAGUCCGGAAUGAAUGGGGUAACUGGGUUUAGCUGUCUCUAUCUUCUUAUAUUGAAUUUACUUUAUAGGUGAAAAAGCCUAUUUAUUGAAAAAGGACGAGAAGACCCUUAGAAUUUUACUAAUAAUGGCCUGACAAUAAGGAAAAGUGGUCAUAUCGGUUUUGUUGGGGUGACAAAGAAUAGAUAUAUCAACUUUCUUUAAAAUCUAGCCGAUUAUAUUAAGAUCGAAUAAAUUACCUAAGGGAUAACAGCAUAAUUUUAUAAAAAAGUUUGUGACCUCGAUGUUGGACUAGGAAACUAGCAAGCUAGCCGUUUGUUGUGUGUGUUCUGUUCGAACCUUUAAUUCCU
rnacentral:rRNA from 1 species